GUGAGCGUAGCUCAGCUGGCAGAGCUCUGGAUUGUGGUUCCAGCGGUCGCGGGUUCAAGCCCCGUCGCUCACCCCA
rnacentral:tRNA from 1 species